UUAAUUGAUGAAUAGGCAACCACAAUCGUCUUUUAACUAUCCGGCGAUGAUUCUUCGAAUAUGUGCCAUGGAUAACUUCAUGCAUCACCAUCUGAUU
rnacentral:snoRNA from 1 species